GAUGAACGCUGGCGGCGUGCUUAACACAUGCAAGUCGAACGAUGAAGCCCAGCUUGCUGGGUGGAUUAGUGGCGAACGGGUGAGUAACACGUGAGUAACCUGCCCUUAACUCUGGGAUAAGCCUGGGAAACUGGGUCUAAUACCGGAUAGGGGCGUCCACCGCAUGGGGGGUGUUGGAAAGAUUUGUCGGUUUUGGAUGGACUCGCGGCCUAUCAGCUUGUUGGUGGGGUAAUGGCUCACCAAGGCGACGACGGGUAGCCGGCCUGAGAGGGUGACCGGCCACACUGGGACUGAGACACGGCCCAGACUCCUACGGGAGGCAGCAGUGGGGAAUAUUGCACAAUGGGCGCAAGCCUGAUGCAGCGACGCCGCGUGAGGGAUGACGGCCUUCGGGUUGUAAACCGCUUUCAGUAGGGAAGAAGCGAAAGUGACGGUACCUGCAGAAGAAGCACCGGCUAACUACGUG
rnacentral:rRNA from 1 species